rnacentral:rRNA from 1 species
AUUGAACGCUGGCGGCAGGCCUAACACAUGCAAGUCGAGCGAGCGGCGGACGGGAGAGUAAUGUAUGGGGACCGCCCGAUAGAGGGGGAUAACUACUGGAAACGGUAGCUAAUACCGCAUACGAUCGGAUAACCCAUAUGGGAUUAGCUAGUAGGUGAGGGAAUGGCUCACCUUGGCGACGAUCCCUAGCUGGUCUGAGAGGAUGAUCAGCCACGCUGGGACUGUGACACGGCCCAGAUUCGUACGGAGGCAGCAGUUGUGAAUAUUGCAAAAUGGGCGCAAGCCUGAUGCAGCAAUGCCGCGGGUAUGAAGAAGGCCCUAGGUUUGUAAAGUACUUUCAGUCGGGAGGCGUUACCGACAGAAGAAGCACCGGCUAACUCCGUGCCAGCAGCCGCGGUAAUAC